UACGUAGGGUGCAAGCGUUACUCGGAAUUACUGGGCGUAAAGCGUGCGCAGGCGGCUUUGCAAGACAGAUGUGAAAUCCCCGGGCUCAACCUGGGAACUGCAUUUGUGACUGCAAGGCUAGAGUACGGUAGAGGGGGAUGGAAUUCCGCGUGUAGCAGUGAAAUGCGUAGAUAUGUGGAGGAACACCGAUGGCGAAGGCAGCCCCCUGGGUUAACACUGACGCUCAUGCACGAAAGCGUGGGGAGCAAACAGG
rnacentral:rRNA from 1 species